rnacentral:rRNA from 1 species
AGAGUUUGAUCAUGGCUCAGGAUGAACGCUAGCGGCAGGCCUAAUACAUGCAAGCCGAACGGCAAGAAUAAUAGCAAUAUUGUUCCUAGAGUGGCGUAAGGGUGCGUAACACGUAUGCAAUCUGCCCGCAACAGGAGGAUAGCUCCCCGAAAGGGAAUUAAUACUCCAUAAGAUCACACGAGGGCAUCUGAGGGUGAUUAAACUACAAGGGGUUGCGGAUGAGCAUGCGGUUGAUUAGCUAGUUGGCGGGGUAAUGGCCCACCAAGGCGAUGAUCAAUAGGGGAACUGAGAGGUUUAUCCCCCACACUGGCACUGAGAUACGGGCCAGACUCCUACGGGAGGCAGCAGUAGGGAAUAUUGGACAAUGGGCGAGAGCCUGAUCCAGCCAUGCCGCGUGCAGGAAGAAGGCCUUCUGGGUUGUAAACUGCUUUUGCCAGGGGAUAAAAAGUCCCUGCGGGGAAAAUUGAAGGUACCUGGUGAAUAAGCCACGGCUAACUACGUGCCAGCAGCCGCGGUAAUACGUAGGUGGCAAGCGUUGUCCGGAUUUAUUGGGUUUAAAGGGUGCGUAGGCGGUUCUAUAAGUCAGUGGUGAAAUACGGCAGCUCAACUGUCGAGGUGCCAUUGAUACUGAAGAACUUGAGUACAGACGAGGUAGGCGGAAUUGACGGUGUAGCGGUGAAAUGCUUAGAUAUCGUCAAGAACACCGAUAGCGAAGGCAGCUUACUAGACUGUAACUGACGCUGAGGCACGAAAGUGUGGGGAUCAAACAGGAUUAGAUACCCUAGUAGUCC